GACCCUAUCGUCCAGCGGUUAGGACACCGCCCUUUCACGGCGGUAACACGGGUUCGAAUCCCGUUAGGGUCGCCA
rnacentral:tRNA from 2 species